AUGAGACUCCCAAAGUCCAAAGGUGGUAUGGGUUUCCGUGACAUGCGUGCAUUUAAUCAGGCAUUGCUUGCAAAGUAGGCCUGGCGACUACUUGAUGUUCCAGACAGUUUGUGUGCUCGCUUAUUACGUGCGAAGUACUACCCCAAUGGGAACCUGUUGGAUACAGUUUUUACUGGAAAUCCUUUAACUGUAUGGAAGGGUAUUGAACAUGGUCUAGAGCUGGUUAAAAAAGGUAUCAUUUGGCGGGUUGGAGAUGGUUCUUUGAUACGGACAUGGAGGGACCCUUGGAUUCCCCGUGGCCAUAAUUUCCGACCUGUUACAGCUAAAAGGAAUUGUCGAUUCAAUCGGGUCUCCAAUUUUGUUGAUAAGAAUGGUGCAUGGAUGGUGCAACGUUUGAACGACCACUUCUGGCCGAUGGAUGUAUGUGAAAUCCUCAAAAUCCGUACCUCGCCGAGACAACGUCAAGAUUUCCUUGCCUGGCAUCCGGAGAAGAAUGGCAUGUUCUCAGUUAGAAGUUCGUACCACUUGGCGACAACAGUGCAUGAUGACCAGUUCGCCGGAGGGGCGUCCAGCGCUAACCCUGACGGGAACCGACCCAUCUAG
rnacentral:rRNA from 1 species